UCCUUGGUGGUUCAGUGGUUAGGACUCUGUGUUCUCACUGCCGAGGGCCCAGGUUUAAUCCCUGGUCGGGGAA
rfam:TPA: Bos taurus chromosome 18, whole genome shotgun sequence.